rnacentral:rRNA from 1 species
AGUGAACGCUGGCGGUAGGCCUAACACAUGCAAGUCGAACGGCAGCACAGUAAGAGCUUGCUCUUACGGGUGGCGAGUGGCGGGCGGGUGAGGAAUACAUCGGAAUCUACUUUUUCGUGGGGGAUAACGUAGGGAAACUUACGCUAAUACCGCAUACGACCUACGGGUGAAAGCAGGGGAUCUUCGGACCUUGCGCGAUUGAAUGAGCCGAUGUCGGAUUAGCUAGUUGGCGGGGUAAAGGCCCACCCAGGCGACGAUCCGUAGCUGGUCUGAGAGGAUGAUCAGCCACACUGGAACUGAGACACGGUCCAGACUCCUACGGGAGGCACCAGUGUGGAAUAUUGGACAAUGGGCGCAAGCCUGAUCCAGCCAUACCGCGUGGGUGAAGAAGGCCUUCGGGUUGUAAAGCCCUUUUGUUGGGAAAGAACAGCAGCAGGUUAAUACCCCGCUGUUCUGACGGUACCCAAAGAAUAAGCACCGGCUAACUUCGUG